UUUAGUCAUAGCUGUUGUCCAGUACGUCUUGAAGUUAUAAGUUUAUUAUAAGUAAACGCGUAUUUGUGAUAAUUAUUUCUUUUAAGAUUUUUUAAAUUUAAGUACACGUUUAUUUGUAAAAUGGCUUCUAAAGAAAAAAGUAGCAAAAGCAAACCGUACACAUCUAUGGAAAAGAAAGUAUUUCUACAAAUACUUGAUAAAUACAAACAUGUAAUAAAAGUAAAGAAAAAUGACGGCACAACAUUGAAAGAUAAGGACGUUGCAUGGUGCGAAAUAUGCAAUGAAUUUAAUCAAUCAACAUUACGUUGUCACGAGAGAACUGUUCAGCACGUAAAGAAACUGUGGGCAAAAGCACGGUCAACGAGGAGCAUUAACAAAGGAGAAACACGCACUCAUGGCAACGGGUGGAGGACGUACCACAGGAAGCAAGAACAGAAGUUGAUCCUGACAUUGCCAACCGUGCACCCCAUUUGAUGAAAACCGCACCAGUCGUAUUUUCAUCUAAUAUGACGGAAAAAGAACGUCACCAAAAGUAAGACAUUGUCGUAUGUACCGUAUGUUAAAGUUACGGCUAAGCUGUCUCAGCAACACAUGCUUUUGAUAUAUCAAACAUGACGAUGAACUUUCAUUAUUUCGUGCAUUUCAGAUAAACGUGAGUUUGUAUUUGAUAUCAUGUCUGCUAACGAAGGUGUAGAAGUAUUAUUUACGAAAGAAAAGGGACAUGUGAUAAACAUAGAUGAUGUAGAAAGCACUACUGUUUCGCAAAAACAGUUAUUAUUGCAGAAGACUGUAAUGAAGAACUGAUGACAUCACACAGUACAGAUAUGUUAAAAGUACAUUUAAAUAACGAUAUGAGAAAAUGACGUGUUUUUAAACGAAAGAGAAAAGAUCUGCUCGAAGUAUCAAAUGAAGAAGAGGACGUACGAAUACAAAGAUUAAAAAAUGUUAUAAAACAAGAAGAAACAUUAGCAAACAUUAAGUUAAAACACGAAGAAAAAAAUAACACUUAUGAAAGAAGAGCAUUUAAAAUUAUUUAACGAUUUGCACGUGAACCAUUUAAAAGA